rnacentral:rRNA from 1 species
GUCUACGGCCAUGCCACCCUGAACAAGCCUGAUCCUGUCUGAUCUCGGAAUCUAAUAAGCAGGGUUGGGCUUGGUUAGUACUUGGAUGGGAGACCACCUAGGAGGAGCAGGUACUGUAGGCG